rnacentral:ncRNA from 1 species
CACCGUCCGUCGCUACUACCGAUUGGAUGGUUUAGUGAGGCCCUCGGAUCGGCCCCGCCGGGGUCGGCCACGGCCCUGGCGGAGCGCUGAGAAGACGGUCGAACUUGACUAUCUAGAGGAAGUAAAAGUCGUAACAAGGUUUCCGUCGCUACUACCGAUUGGAUGGUUUAGGGCCACGGCCCUGGUGGAGCGCUGAGAAGACGGUCGAACUUGACUAUCUAGAGGAAGUAAAAGUCGUAACAAGGUUUCCGUAGGUGAACCUGCGGAAG